UACCAUAAGUUACAGAAUGUAUAGAGAACCAUAUACACAGAACAAAACCGAAUAACAGGCGCCGGAAGAACGAAACUCUAGUUACAGCAGGCCCUUCAAACUCCACUCUUGUGAUUUUGAUGCAAAUUUUAGGUUUACGCCUCACUACCAGGAGGCGCUGAUGUCACUUCUCCCAUGCAUAGCUUGUAUCACUGAUAUUAACACACAACUAAAGAUAUCGUGACGUCAUGUUCCUACGAAAUUUGUCGCUGCGUUUUUCAAUUGUUUCAAAAUUUAAAGAGACAAAAGAAAUAUGGCGCACAUGGUUGCACAUGGUGGCAGCGUAGAUGACUGAAUUUCCAGAUAUUUUUUAAAGUUUUUUCUAGGUUUUGAGGUUUUUCAAUAACUUCUGCAGUUGAGAUGCAGCAACAGGAAGAGAAGAUAGAAAUUAAAAAGAGGAAGAAAAUAUGCAUCAUCAGAGGGUGUAUUAACGAAAACAGCAGAAUGUUCUGCUUCCCCUAAGAGAGAAAGGAUUAGUAGAGGAUGGCACAGUGGGUGAAAGUAUGUGACAACCCAAAAUCAGUGCUUCCAUCUAAAAACUGAAAUUCCGGGUGGUCUGUAGUAGCUACUUUAAAGAAAAAUACUUCAUGAGGAAAAGAUUAACAACAUCAGCAGUUCUAACACUGAACUUACUUGUGUCAGAGGCUACCUCUAUUAAAAUAGAGCAACAAGACAC